rnacentral:rRNA from 1 species
UACGAAGGGUGCAAGCGUUACUCGGAAUUACUGGGCGUAAAGCGUGCGUAGGUGGUUUGUUAAGUCUGUUGUGAAAGCCCCGGGCUCAACCUGGGAAUGGCAAUGGAUACUGGCAAGCUAGAGUGCGGUAGAGGGUAGUGGAAUUCCCGGUGUAGCGGUGAAAUGCGUAGAGAUCGGGAGGAACACCAGUGGCGAAGGCGGUUGCCUGGGGCUUUGCUGACGCUGGAUGCGCGAAAGCGUGGGGAGCGAUCCGG